GGAAGGGUGGCCGAGUGGCUUAUGGUUCCGGUCUUGAAAACCGGCGUGCCCGCAAGGGUACCGUGGGUUCGAAUCCCACCCCUUCCGCCA
rnacentral:tRNA from 1 species